AUAAUAUACUGAACAAAUGCCUGUGACACAACAUUUAAAAACCUGUCCCUGAGAAAACAGCACCUGUGAUUCUUUUUCUUUAUAGAGCCCUGUACAGACGGUGCACAGACAAUGCAAUAUCAUGCUUUUGGCCACUUCUUUGUCCCCUCUUUGCAGUGCUGCAGUGUUUGUGCCUAACAGCUUGAUACAGGCCCCCACAGCAGUACCCAGGACCGGGGGUGGUGUUGCAGUUUCCAAGAAAGCGCAUUGCCCAUGUGCCUCCUUUUCUGCCUGGAAGCAGCAGUGAGUGCACCCCAGCAGUCUCCAGAGAGAAAACUGGAAUCAGGAGAGAGGAACAAAUAAGAAAACAGCGAGGGCCGGGAGGUCCAAAGGGCAGCAAGCACAGCCCGAGUGCCCUAUGCUCGGAGGCAGGCGGAGGGGGAGAUCCCCACCCGGUAUCAUCAGGAACAGACAAAAAACAAACAGCUGUGCUCAGACAGAAACGGAUGACCAUGCUGUAAAAGCAAGAGCAUGUGCUAGCUCCUCUUCAGAUCUGGGACCAGCUCUGCUGCUUUCUCUUGGGCCAGGAGGGGUGAGGCAUGGAGACACCAUUUGCGUCCUCAGACCUCAGUGAUGAAUCCAGCAGUGGGUAGGAAAAUAUUAGCAACCACAUUUGUUUAUUUUUUCAUUUGAGACAAGGUGCAGCUAUGGAUUGCAUUGCGUGAAGGCUGCCUUGAAGGUCUCCAGUUCCCAUUUUUUGUCGCAGUGUCCACUCAUUUGCUCCUCAAUCUUCCUGUCCCCAUUGUCAAGGUGUUUGUCAUGCCUGUGGCUACAGCAGCUUAGAUUCAUUCUGACAGGCACUUUCCUUAUUUGUUUUGACAAGGAGUAUUUAUUCUGAUUUGUGCUAUGCUGGUGUUUAGAUCUGCUCAAGAUCUCUCUUCUAGAGCAGGUCAGAAAGCAUAUUUCACGUGCCAUGAGAAAAUGUCAAGAUUUAGAUGCAUUUAUUAUAAACUGGGCAGAAAAAGGCAAAUAUUUGUUUGUUUGUUUGUUUCUACUUAACUGGUGUCCCAGGGCAACAGGCUCUGUUUUGAUAUUUUUCUCUUUUCUUUCUUUUGGCUUUUUCUUUCAAUAAGGUAAACAUUACUGUGAAUAAAAUUCUCAGUAAAAGAUAACUUCA
rnacentral:lncRNA from 1 species